CAUGUCCCUGCAAAGGACAUGAACUCAUCCUUUUUUAUGGCUGCAUAGUAUUCCAUGGUGUAUAUGUACCACAUUUUCUUUAUCCAGGCUCCCAUUGAUGGGCACUUAGGUUUCUUCCACGUCUUGGCUAUUCUGAACAGUACU